AGGAAUAGGUUAAAAAUCAAACAAUUUGGCGGUAUCUUAUCCUAAUAGAGGAACUUGAUCUAUAAUCGAUAAUCCACGUUUGAUCUUACUUUUACUAAUGUUUGUAUACCGUUGUUGUUAGAUUACCUUAUAUAGCUAGCCAGUUUUCUUAAUAGAAUUUGUUAGAGUGAUUUGAGGCUAAUUCUGUGACUUCAAAUCAAGGUGCAGUAUAUGUAUAAGAUGAGUUGAGUUACUAUGUGUUAGAAAUAGAUUGUAAAAUGAAAUUUUAUUUGAAAGAGGAUUUAUUAGUAAGUUUAUAUUAAUUAGAUUAGCUGAAAGGGGGUCUGAGAUAUGUACAAAUCGCCCGUCACUCUGGUUUUAAUAUCAGAUAAGUCGUAACAAAGUAGGUGUAAGGGAACUUGCACCUAGAUGA
rnacentral:rRNA from 1 species